rnacentral:lncRNA from 1 species
CUUAUUAAAAAUAUAUAUUUGUUUAUAAAAACUGUGAAAAUGUGUUAGUUAACUAUUCAGGUACGUGGUGUUCCAUCAUAACUCUCCAUUGUUGAUAUGGAUUACUGGAUAAUCACCUUAAUCCCUUAAGUAAAGGGACGUCGUUGCUUUUUGGCAAAUUCCCGUUGUGAUUUUGAAGUCCCAUUGUUGCAGAACCGUUUCCUCAACUCUAUUAAUUAAGUAUCAUACAGACGGACAAAGGAAGAAGAAUUGCUCUGAAUUUUCGAUGACCCAGCACAAAAAGACUCCUGGAUACAAAAAGAAACUCGAAAAGGAGAGGAAUCGUGUUCAUCAUGGCAAUGCCAGUCCGCACAGAUCUUUGAAGAAGCGCCGGAAACUUUAGGAGCUCGCAUGGGAAGUUCUUAUGCGUUCACCCUACAGUUAGGACAUGGCACCAAGUGACGACCACCUGUUCCUGUUUAAGGCUAAUGCGCUUAGGCUAACAAAUUUUAAUCUAUAGAGGACAGUGAUUGUCUGAAUUUUUUUGCAAUAGGGACAAGGGAUUCUACAUGAAAGGGAUUAUGAAGUUGGAUUCUCGUUGGCCGAAAGUUAUCAAGCAGAAC